rnacentral:rRNA from 1 species
GAUGAACGCUAGCGGCAGGCUUAACACAUGCAAGUCGAGGGCGAUUGAUAUUAGCAAUAGUAUUAAUUGACCGGCGAAAGGGUGCGUAACGCGUGAGUAACAUACCCGUUACAGAGGGAUAGUCGAUGGAAACGUCGUAUAAUACCUCAUAGUAUAGAUUUAUCCCCUGAUAGAUUUAUUAAAUCGUAAGAGGUAACGGAGUGGCUCGCGUCCCAUUAGUUAGUUGGCGUGGUAACGGCACACCAAGACAACGAUGGGUAGGGGUUCUGAGAGGAAGGUCCCCCACACUGGAACUGAGACACGGUCCAGACUCCUACGGGAGGCAGCAGUGAGGAAUAUUGGUCAAUGGGCGGAAGCCUGAACCAGCCAUGCCGCGUGCAGGAAUGGAUCCCUAUGGGACAUAAACUGCUUUUGAUACUGAGCAAGAGCAUUUACUUGUAUAUGAGUGAGAGUAAGUAUCGAAUAAUCUUUGUCUUCUCCUUGCCAUCAGCCGCGGUAAUACGGGGGAUGCAAGCGUUAUCCGGAAUUAUUGGGUGUAAGGGUGCGUAGUCUGUGCGGCGCGUCUGUGGUAAAGACCUCUGCUGAUUGGAGCGUAGCCUAUAAACUGUUGUCUUGAUGCGUUUUCGUGUGAGGAAUGUGUGUUUAGCGGUUAAUGUAUGUCUUGACACAGAAUACUGCUUU